GUCACACAGCUAGGAAGUGUAUGAGGCUGCAUUUGAACUCAGGUCCUCCCGACUCCAGGGUCCUUCUUCUAUUCACUGUUCCAUGGCUGCCCCCUCCCUAAGUCUCUGGGGCCCAUCACCUCUGGAUCCGGGGGUUCCAGCAGAAUAAGACCCUGGAUCAGUGGGGAGGGAAGAGGACAGCACGGCCCAAUCAAUUUGCUUCUCUGUGACUUUAUCUGCUGAACCCCCUGGGGCCACCUCAGAGAGGCCUUAGGAACUAAAUCCUGCCACACAGCCGAUUAAGUUGUCUUAAUUACUCAAAGAUAUUACCAUCCAGGACAGGCAGAGGCCUCCCUCAGCUCCCAGAAGACAGCUCAGAAGGAGCCCGGUACGGGGAGAGGGACAAGGCUGGUUGGGGGCCAGGCUAAUGGAGGAGAUUAUCGGGGGCAAGGGCCCUGUGUAGUGGGGAGGCCCCUCUCCUCAUGAAAGAGGUGAGGAGAAGCAGACCUGCAGUCCUCAGCCCUCAGGAGAAAAUACAACUGAAAUAAAUUACUUUAAAGAAAUGGCAUUCUAGGAGACAAGCAAACACCCAGGAUUGGUGGAGCACACGGAGACAGGGACAGAGUAGUACGGAGAGCCCCAGGCCAGGUUGCUGGGAGACCUGGAUACAAGGUCCAGGCACUUCUUUCUGGGCCAAGGUUUCCCCAUCUGCAAAAUGAGGGGGUUGGGCCCAGAUGAUCUCCAAGGACGCUCCAGACCCUGGCAUUCUGUGUUGCUAAGAGCCCUCCUGGGAGGGACAUUCUGAGAGCUCUCCUGGCUGGCUGUGACAUGCAGGGUGCUCUCAGUUGGCAUGAUCUCAAACCCAGGACGCUGUGGAGAUGGGAAAGACGAACCUAAAAACAGAUAAGGAAAAUGAGGC